rnacentral:misc_RNA from 1 species
UAUUCCAGGACACAACAUCUUUCUGGGGCAUUUGAUCAAACAACUUCCAAGCCAGCUUUAUUUUGCGCAACUUAGGAUACCUAGAAAGCAUAUUAUUCUAUGAGUACAAAUUCCUAAUAGGCAUUUCAUCAAACACCUUGUAUGCACGUACAUAAUCACCACAUUUCACAUACAUAAUGAUCAGAUGAUAAACCAAAAGCACAUUGGGUCUUUAAAUCCGGUUAAGUUUAAAUGGAGAUGGAUCCUUUUGCCGAACUUGAGCGAUUUGGUGUUUGCACAUUGUUGGAUAAGGCAAGGUAGUGUCUGGCAAGGCAAGCGUAUCCCUUUGCGCCAUAAUAGCUCAAGAGAGGAGACUGCUUGUGCGAGUUGACAGAAUUUAACUAUGCAGGGAGGCCUUGUGGAAAGCUGCUUUCUGGGAAAUAAGUAAAUUUUCACCAAACUUGAGGGCUUCGGCCUGGAGGAAGCAGGCAUUGGAAAGAGGAACCAUCUGAAGUGAAGCCAACAGUUUGUUUUUCUUCUUCUACAUUACUGGGGUCUCCGGUGAGAUGGCGUCGCCGGCUGCGGUACAUGAGAAGGUGGGGAUUGACCGUUGGUUUGACAAAUAGGAGGUUUGCCAUGGUAACGGUGCGUGUGGUUGACUUGGCG